UUAAGUUCAGCGGGUAUUCCUACCUGAUCCGAGGUCAACCUUUGGGUACCUUGAGAAGGUGGCUUUCACGGCCGGAACCCGCCCCACGCCCUGAGCGAGACAAAUAUGCUACUACGCUCGGUGUGGACAGCGAGCCCGCCACUGGUUCAGGGCCUGCGGGUGUGCCGCAGGUCCCCAACACAAGCCGGGGGCUUGAUGGU
rnacentral:misc_RNA from 1 species